rnacentral:rRNA from 1 species
UGGGGAAUAUUGCACAAUGGGCGCAAGCCUGAUGCAGCCAUGCCGCGUGUGUGAAGAAGGCCUUCGGGUUGUAAAGCACUUUCAGCGGGGAGGAAGGCGAUAAGGUUAAUAACCUUGUCGAUUGACGUUACCCGCAGAAGAAGCACCGGCUAACUCCGUGCCAGCAGCCGCGGUAAUACGGAGGGUGCAAGCGUUAAUCGGAAUUACUGGGCGUAAAGCGCACGCAGGCGGUCUGUCAAGUCGGAUGUGAAAUCCCCGGGCUCAACCUGGGAACUGCAUUCGAAACUGGCAGGCUAGAGUCUUGUAGAGGGGGGUAGAAUUCCAGGUGUAGCGGUGAAAUGCGUAGAGAUCUGGAGGAAUACCGGUGGCGAAGGCGGCCCCCUGGACAAAGACUGACGCUCAGGUGCGAAAGCGUGGGGAGCAAACUGGAUUAGAUACCCUGGUAGUCCACGCUGUAAACGAUGUCGAUUUGGAGGUUGUGCCCUUGAGGCGUGGCUUCCGGAGCUAACGCGUUAAAAGCGACCGCCUGGGGAGUACGGCCGCAAGGUUA